rnacentral:rRNA from 1 species
UACUCAGAUGGCGACCGGCGCACGGGUGAGUAACACGUAUCCAACCUGCCGCUUACUCGGGGAUAGCCUUUCGAAAGAAAGAUUAAUACCCGAUGGUAUAAAGAGUUCGCAUGUUCUCUUUAUUAAAGAAUUUCGGUAAGCGAUGGGGAUGCGUUCCAUUAGAUAGUUGGCGGGGUAACGGCCCACCAAGUCUACGAUGGAUAGGGGUUCUGAGAGGAAGGUCCCCCCACAUUGGAACUGAGACACGGUCCAAACUCCUACGGGAGGCAGCAGUGAGGAAUAUUGGUCAAUGGACGAGAGUCUGAACCAGCCAAGUCGCGUGCAGGAAGAAUGUUCCCUAUGGAUUGUAAACUGCUUUUGCAGGGGAAUAAAGUGCAUCACGUGUGAUGUUUUGUAUGUACUCUGCGAAUAAGGAUCGGCUAACUCCGUGCCAGCAGCCGC